rnacentral:rRNA from 1 species
GAUGAACGCUAGCGGCAGGCCUAAUACAUGCAAGUCGGACGGGAUUCAGGAGCUUGCUUCUGAUGAGAGCGGCGCACGGGUGCGUAACACGUAUGUAACCUACCUUUAUCAGGGGGAUAGCCUCUCGAAAGAGAGAUUAAGCCCGCAUAAAAUCACAGCACAGCAUUGUGUAAUGAUCAAAUAUUUAUAGGAUAAAGAUGGGCAUGCGGAACAUUAGCUAGAUGGCGGGGUAACGGCCCACCAUGGCGACGAUGUUUAGGGGAUCUGAGAGGAUGGCCCCCCACACUGGUACUGAGACACGGACCAGACUCCUACGGGAGGCAGCAGUAAGGAAUAUUGGUCAAUGGGCGGAAGCCUGAACCAGCCAUGCCGCGUGCAGGAAGACGGCCCUACGGGUUGUAAACUGCUUUUAUACGGGAAUAAACCCAGAUACGUGUAUCUGGCUGAAUGUACUGUAAGAAUAAGGAUCGGCUAACUCCGUG